rnacentral:rRNA from 1 species
AAUCCAUAGGUUAAUGAGGCGAACCGGGGGAACUGAAACAUCUAAGUACCCCGAGGAAAAGAAAUCAACCGAGAUUCCCCCAGUAGCGGCGAGCGAACGGGGAGGAGCCCAGAGCCUGAAUCAGCAUGUGUGUUAGUGGAAGCGUCUGGAAAGGCGCGCGAUACAGGGUGACAGCCCCGUACACAAAAGCGCAUGUGCUGUGAGCUCGAUGAGUAGGGCGGGACACGUGGUAUCCUGUCUGAAUAUGGGGGGACCAUCCUCCAAGGCUAAAUACUCCUGACUGACCGAUAGUGAACCAGUACCGUGAGGGAAAGGCGAAAAGAACCCCGGCGAGGGGAGUGAAAAA